AAGCGGUGGUUUUCUCCUACUAAAACGUCAACCAGGGAACCUCUCCUCAUAAUCUAAUCGCCCCGACUCCCACCCGCAUCUCUCUCCUCAAACGACACAAACUCCAUGUGGUGAUGGAUGCAACUGAGCCCAGCCUCCUCUAGGGUUUGCGUCUGCCAUCGGGAUGAGAACCGGCGGCCAUGGCGGCUUGCGGGGCAAAGGAAGGACUGGAAGACAAUCGAUCUGAAGGAUGUGUGGGACUUCAUGCAGAGGGGCGUCCACAUGCUCAUCAACAUUCUCGAUGGCUAGAGCCCGAGCACAACUUCGAGUACUACAUGAUGCAUCUGAAGAUUCUGAACAUGUUAGCGAUUGCUGGCUUUCCUACAUUUGUCGAUUUUAGAUUCAGUUAAACAAGAUAGUAUGUAUUUCAAAGACGUGUGCUUGCAUGGGUUUGAUACUUCCCUUUAUACCCGAUUGCAUAGGAAAACAAGAUCAGAGCAUAAUUCUACUUGGCAUUGGUGGCUGGGGUCAACAGGUUCAGUGAUUGUUCUUAUACUUUUGGUAUGAUCCAUUCAGUCCUCAUUGCAUGAAUUUGUAUAAACAAGGAUGUACGAUGCAUGAUGACUAAGAAAAGAAAAUUGUGUUUUGUUCAGAACUUCAGGCUGCAGUCCGUUUUUCCAUGUAGCUCUUCUGUAGUACUAGACUAAGUGGUACUUUUUCCCAGAAAUUUUAUGGCUUUUGUAGCUGCAGAGAAACUGAUAAUUGGAGAUAGAAGAUAUGGACAUAUCACAUAUCAGCCACAUCGGGUGACCUCCAGAAGUUCCAAUAAUAUUUACCUCUAGGAAGAACCUGCUUUACUAAGUUUUUCGGCUCUUCCAAAUUGUUAGACAAAGAUUCCUGGAACAGUAAUACAAUGACAGUAGUUCUGCAAUAGUGCAAUACUACCAUUUUUCACACUAACAGUGACAAUAUCUGAAUGGUUAAU